AUGAAAUGAGCCAAUCACUAACUGCGCACUUUCACUUUCAAUAUUUAAGUUUCUUAUCUUGUCCCUUGCGAUAAAUUAAAAUAAACAUUGGUUGUCAGUCCACAUCACAGAGUAAUACAAUUUAAUGAUUAAUCAAAGAAGGCGGCCAAGUGGAUGUCACAAGGGAUGUGAUGGCAACGUGCCUGAACGUUUCCAAGUAGUGAGGGCAGAGUUAAAGUCUGGGUUAACAAAAAGGAAAAUAUCAUAGAAGAGAAAUUUAGGUUCCCCUUAGAGAAAGAAUAGUACUGGUGAUUAGCCCCCAUUGUACCCACCCAAAAAAAAAAAAAAAAAAAAACAGAACAGUACUGGUGAUGACUAAGGUAUGGUUUGGUGAGAAAAUUAAUAACCAAGACCAAGUUCAUAUGAUUAGCUGGGGAGCUGAAAGAUAACUUGUCCACCACACUGCGAUUUUUCAACAACCUCUAUCUUUUUCUCUCUCUCUCUCUCUCUCUCCCAUUAUUGACCUUCCUAAAACCACUUCUACACUAAUCCCAUACCUUGUUUUUAAUGUUUUCAAUCUAGGUGGGAUGGAAAUCAGAUAAUUCAAGAAAGAAAAAAAGCAAAGGACCGGUCCUGGAAGGUUUAUUUUUUCUUUUCCUCUGUAAAUUUCCUUCGAUUUCUCAGUAACCAAACAGAGGUAUUAGUCUUCUCUGUCUCAAAGUAAUCUUGACAGGCCGUUGAGUUUCAGGGAUGAGGUUGCACAACAGCAAUGUCUAUGAUGAGCCCAUAAAGGGUACUUCAGAAUCAGUAGAGUGGAUAUUUUUAGUCACUAGCCUUGGCCUAGAGAUGUUGUCAGCUGCUUUUGAUCAGGCUUCCUCCCCGACAAAACCGCACUAUGCGCUAUUUGGUGUGCUGUUGGCUACUGCAGCUUUACUUAUUUCCAUCUGGGAGCUAAUUUAUAAUGGUAGAAAGGAAAGAGUUGUGCUAAGGAGAUGGGGAAGGCUCUGGUGGUUUUAUUAUCCACCUCCUCGGAACGCAUUUUUCAGUACUCUUCCUGACAUUUAUGGACUAGUUGGCGGCAUCUCGCAGUGCAUUUGCUCUGUAGUUCAGUACAUGUACUACCUUCGGCAUGCCGAUAAUCCUAUCAAAGUAUCCAUUUUGCCUGCCAUAUUUCUUAGGUGCUUAGGUGGUUCAAAACUAAAUAGGAAUCAGCGGAACAUGAACACCAUCGAACAUAAGAUGUUUAGGAAAAGGCAACUCUUGCACAGUGAGUCUAUCUAAAUAUGUGGUGAGCAAAUCCAACCAGGAAACUAGAGUUUCUUUUAGACAGGGGAAGCAAAUAUUGCAUCGACACAUUUUGAGAUAAAAUCUCACACCUGGACGAGUUCAUGUGUGUUAUGAACAAAUAAAAUACUGAGAAUUAAAAUGGGAUCCUGUGAAUGACAAUUUUCUAGCUAGGUAAAUCCAUGCGAAUUAUCUUUGAUAUAAUGCAGAGUUAAGGAGGUUGUUCCUCAUGAGUGUCUGGAUCUUCCACAUUGGAUGGAGGCAAAACCGGGUUUGGAUCAUCAACCAUGGUCGGUUUUGAUCAUCAACCAUGGUAUUCUUACUUUAAAAUGUUUACAACUCAAAGAUGUACAUGUCUUUUCCAGAUAGUCACUAGCAAAGGUGCCCGUGUGCAAUGCUGCGGGUAUUAAAACCCUAUAAUAUAUAUAAAAAGUUGAAAAAAGGGAUAGGAAACACAAUGUUAUUUACAUGUGAAAGUUUAAGUUACAAAAGAUAGAUUAGUAACAUGUUAUGUAUGCGAAGUAGUGUUUAAAAACCUAUUACUGCUGUUGCAAUAGAUAGAUAGAUAAAUAACAUGUUUUAUACGCUAAGAUAUACACUGAUUGGUGGCAGAACUUCUCUCUUCAUUGGUUCUUGGUUUUUCAUAUGUUUUCAUGAGCUAAUAAACUUUUUUUUGCAAUCGAAUUGUAGUUGAAGACAACCAUGAGAAAAAGAAACUGUCCCCAAAUUCAACACAAUGAACUAUCACUUAAUAUAGAGAAAUUGAGUGGGGAAAGAAACUAUGAACAAUGAAAAACUAUGUGAGUAUUGCCUUAUUUAAACAGAAAUGGAAGCAAAAGUUUAUACUCUGCAGCCACCAAAAGAGUAUAUAUCCUAAACCCUUUCAGUAAAUUCCUUAUAUGUACCAGAUUUCAACCAUCUUUACCAAAUGCACAAAUGGGUAGCCCCAAAUCCCAGUUGUCAAGUCUCAAAGGAAGGCAAACAAUGCAAAACCAAAUAAAACAGCAUCUGGGUAAGACAUUCAUACCAAAAUUCCAAGUUAGAUCAAAUUUGUAGAAUAAUGUUAGAUCAAAUUUGUAGAAUAAUGUUUUUAGGGUCUUUGAUUAUUAGUGGAGGAGAAAUGAUAAUUGCAUGCUAUCAUGAUGUAAAGCGUUUAACAACAGAGGUUUAAAUUGUUGUUUAACAUUUUAGUAGAAACAUAAACACUUGUUCAACAGAAUAGAAUGAAUGGGCAUGAUGGGGCAUUUCCAAAUGGGUUAACUUUUUCCUACAAUUUGCUUCUACCUGUUUAUUUAAACAAUUUCUUGAAGGAUCCAAGCCAAUGUGGGCAUUUGUGUUAUAAACAAAGGAAAUACGUACUGAGAAUUGCAUUGCGGUCCUGUGCAGGACAAGUUUUUAGCUAGGUAAGUUUUUCCCUCUUGUAGAUCCAUGUUAAUUAACUUUCAUAUAUGCAGGCUUAUAAAUGUCAUCAAGAAGGAAGGCUCUUGGACUUGGUUGACAAAAGUUUGUAUACUUACCAUACAAAACAGAAGCCUUCACCAUCUUAAAUUUAGCAGUGAAGUGCACCAGUAUAUCCCCUACUCUCAGGCCUACAAUGUCUGAAACAAAUGUAUCAUAUCAAUGUCUCAUAACUAUGUAUCUACCUUAACGACAACAUCCCGUACAUCAUAAUUGUCACACUCUAGAAAAUGUUGCCUCAUAACCGAUCUAAGGGUAGAUACAUAGUUAUGAGACAUCGAACUUAUACAUUUGUUUCAAUCAUAUCCCCAUAGUUAGCAUUAGUCGUUCUCAAUUUGUUGCCAUUAUACUAGCACCCUUAACAUUCUAAGCAUGCUUUAGUUUGUUCAUUUUUUCUCAGUUCUGUGUUUUUUUACCUUUCAACCUUGAUAAACCCUUUCUCAAGGCAAAAUGUUGCACCGAAACUGUGAAAUUUGUACCGGGAGGCCAUGGAUAAAUGUUUACCGUCCAUCAAAGGCUUUCAAAGAGACAAGGAUGGCUUGGCAGAAGUGCUUCCACCCAAAACUAAAGUUUCAGGCUCCAUUAUUUCAUCUGAUUGAAGGGCGUUUUCUCAGAGUAUCUGUAUCUCCAUAUUGGAUGGAGGCACAAGCGGGUUUGGAUCAGCCAUGGGAUACUGCUAGUACAUAUACUAAAAUUUUCGGCUUGCACAUUAAAAUGUUUAGAACUCAAAGAUCUACUUUGUCUUUCCAAGAUGGUCAUUGAUUCUUUCUUGACACAAAGUACGGACUUUUUGUUAAACUAAGUUAUCUGUUGGCCUGUCCUGUUUGUUAGUACAUUGUUACUUUCAAUGACUAUGCUGGCUUGGCUUCAA